UUAAGUGACGACAAAACGCUGUGCACCAGUCUGAGUACUCAUACGCAUGACAGACCCAGUAUACCCAAAUUUCUGAUA
rfam:Scheffersomyces stipitis CBS 6054 chromosome 3, complete sequence.